UUUGUUAGGAAGUGUGGCUAUGCAGAUGUCACAAGGUUGGAAGUGUAUUGGUUGCUGCCAGGGAAAUCAUUGUUUGGUGGUCUGCGAGUGCUCGGGUGUGAUGCUGACACAAAUUAUAUGAUGUCUGUGGUCAGCAAGAUCAAAACUUUUGAGCUAUAUGUGAAUGAUAAAGAUCUGAAGAGAUCAAUCUUCAGUGAUAAUGACAUUCCAAUGACUGGAGGCCCUGAGCUGCCUAAGGUUUUUACUCCUACAAAGAUAAAGCCACUGGAUAUUCCACCCUUCUAUGAUAAUGUCAUCAGCCCCAAACAGAGAGCAAAACUUCAGAGAAAUUUUGUCAGGAGAGAGGCUGAGGCAUGGAAUAGUAAUGCAGGGCAUCAGUUCACAUAUGAGAGGAGAAGCAAUAGGAGGAGGGCUCAGUUUGAACCAGAAGUUGAAGAGGACAGUUCUGGGGGUGAAGACAGUAGUAGUGGAUCAGAGUUUGUGGACUCCGAUAAUGAGUUCGAUAAAGAUGAUGACAACCUAUAUGAGAAGUAUGUUGAUGCAGAUGCAGAGGAGGAGGAGCAGAGCAAGGACAAGGACAAGGACAAGGAUAUUGGAAGCUCAAAGGAAAAGGGAAAUGCAAGUAAGGGCAAGAAUUUGGUGGAAGAAGAGGAGGAGCUGGACCUCCCAGAUUCAGAUGAAGAAGGAGGUGAGAACAGUUUGAAGUUCAAAAGUUUUAGGCCUGAAGACAUGAAAAAUCCUGUGUUCAAAGUUGGAAUGGUCUUUUCAUCAAUUGUAGAGGUUAGGACAGCUUUGGCAGAGUAUGCUGUUAAGAACAGGGUAGCUAUAAAGACACCAAAAAACGACAAAAUUAGAGUGAAAGCUCAUUGUGUCCCAGGUUGCCCCUGGGAGUUCUUUGCCUCAAAGGACAGCAGAACAAAGUGCAUAAUGCUGAAAAAAUACAUAGAUGAGCACACUUGCAGUAGGGAGUGGGAGGUGAAGCAAUUCACUGCUAGUUACAUAGCAAAGAAGUAUGUUGAGAAGGUGAGGACAGAUGAAUCAAUUUCAUUGAGAACCCUGGGAAGUAAUGUGCAAGAGGAUUACAAUAUGGCAGCCACCAAGAGCAAGCUUGCUAGAGCAAAGAGAGAAGCAAUCAGAAAGAUUAGAGGAGAUGAGCAAAAACAGUACAAUAUGUUGUGGGAUUUUGCAGAAGAGCUGAGAACACAAAAUCCUGGUAGCACAUUCUAUUUGAAACUGAAAAAUGGUGUUCUUUUUGACAAAUUGUACAUGUCUAUAGAUGCAUGUAAGAGGGGUUUUCUGCAAGGAUGUAGGCCAGUAAUUUGUCUGGAUGGUUGCCACCUU
rnacentral:rRNA from 1 species